AGGGUUCCCCCGUGCCCACAGGGGUCUGCCAACCUCGUCCCCCGUUCAGAGGCAGGGCUCAGCCAGCCAGGAGGGCCAUGGGCUUGGCUCCGUUGCUGACACACGUGCAUUGAAAGAAGACCCCAAACAGGGACGCAGAGAUAACUACUGUCUACUUCAGCAAUGACGUAAAGUGCUGACCUUUGUAGUGGGAGCGUGGGAAGCGGAGCUGGCUGGGAAGGCAUGGUACAAGCACUAGCUCUAGUGCCCAGAUCCCCAAAGAGACACUGGCAGCCCUUCAGCAGCAUCUCAAAACCUCACAGCAUCUCAAAACCUCACAGCAUCUCUGACAUCCUUUCCAGCUGCUGCAUCCUAAAAACACAGGGGAAGAGACACGUCCACACUCCCUCACUUGCCAGGAGGUCAUGGAGAGAUGUAAACAUCUCAGGUCUCGCCAGGACCAUCUGGGAGAAUAUUAGCAUGGGGCUCAAACCCUACCAUCUGCUCCUGAGGACACAGAAACUGGCUUAACCUAUGAACCCCAGGUGGUCCUACCCUUCUGCGUCUGUAAUCAGAGGUAAGUUCUGCACAGUCUUGAUGCCUACAGAGAUGCUUGACCCCAUCCCAAAUCUUGCUAAGCUUUGGACACCCACAGUUUCCAGUAGCAAUAAGCCCUUGUAUCUCAUUCCUGCCUUUGCUAAGCUUUGCCCAGUGUUCCUUUGGCCGCGCUGUGGACACUCACUUGGCCUCCGCAUCAGAUGAGACAAGAAAUAAUGACUUUCCUGCAAGACGCUGUGAUGUCCCUACCACCCUCCUGCAAGGUGUGAUCUCCAUCCUGUACUCUUGGCAGAGGGAACGGUAGCUGGUGUCAGGAUCUCUGGGCUAGGAACAAGGUUUACUCACAGACUGACAGCUCGAGUUAUAAAUCUCCACAGCAGGACUGGUCCCAGUGUUUCUUAUUUCUUUCUUUGUGCUUUGGGAGAGAAUUGACUCAAGAAUUGUAUUGAUCUGAGGCCAAGGAACAAACAUCCCCCUUCACAGGCCACAGCCACGGGUCUCUCCUGUGCACCACGUGAGGAAGAGGAGCAGGGAAGGGCAGUGCUUUGCCAAGACGAGAACCUACCCAAAUCUGUGACUACUCUCAGGAGGUGGGAAGAGGAAGAAACAGCCCAUGCAGUCAGCUCUGGAAAGGGCAGUUCCUGCCGAGAACUGGCUCGGGAACAUUCCCAUUUUCAUAACCAGCAACAGCUGUCAAAAGGGGAAAGAAAAGUGAUUCUGGACCCUGCCAGCAGCACCUCCCGUCUGGAGCGGGACGGGAGAGCAGUGGAGCCCUCCCAGCACAGCCCUCUGGCCCCGCAGCAAGGAAAACCUGUGUCAUUUUCCAGAGGGCUGAGCCAGCACUAACCAGGUGGGACACGUAUGAGCGUCUCACUUUGAAAAUCAGCUUGAUCAGGGUUCCCUGGUCUCAGAAGAGAUCUUUCCCCAGCCUGACCCUUGGUUGCCAAGCCCCUGCCCUCAGCCUGGUUCAGUCCAGGGCUGCUCCCCCAGUGCUCUGUUCUCUCUGCAGUAGAACAAGGUGGGCAAGGGGAUAGGGGAGCUAUAGUUUGGUGCAUCCUUCAUUCCUGGGCCAGCAAGGAAAGGUAAACGGGGUUUGUUACUGACCCACCCCUUCCUUCCCCUGGCAUGAUGCCAUGACCACAAGCUCAUUCUUUCUAACUCUCUUCAAGCAGAACCCACCUUUACCGCAGCCAGGAAAUUCCUCUUCUUCCUCCCUCCUCUCCCUCACCCCUUCACCACCACGAGAAACCCUCUUCCCUUUCUGGGGCUGACGUCAUCUGUGGGUUGCCUUAGCCAGUGUUUAAGCAAGCUAGCCUCUGUGCUGCCUGAUGAGGCUGGACUGUGCACAGCAGAAAAUUGAGUAGGAGGUUUCCAGGGCAAUCAGCGUGCACCAAGACCUCCAAUGCUUCUCUGAGAUCAGGCCCUGCUGUUGCUCCAAAGCAUCCUUCUAACAGGGAGGCAGCAGCUACGGCAGUCUCUCAUCUGCCCAGCCUUGCCCUCUCUGAUCCAGGCUGCCAUCCCAGUUUCCCUGAGCACCAGGAAAAGUCCAGCGCCUGCCACUGAAACAGCAGUAGCUUCCAAGUGCCUCCCAGCUGUCUCUGAGCUACAGGAUCCCUCCCCAGCAUAAGCCCUGCAGUCUCUCAGGGGGCAACUGCUGGCAAUAACAACCCUAUUUAAACAAAGCAGAGACAGCCUGACUUUACAAGGCCUCUGUCUGCCUUUCCUGCCCCCUGCCAUCAUGCAUAUUUGGGGAAAAAUCUCUCAAGUCAGCACUGAUUCCUGCACUUUCCACUGUACGUGCAGCUCAGCCACAGCAACAUGCUGGGGUUCACAUAGUCCUGAGUCUUGCUCCAGCUAUUCCCGCCCACUUUCCAUAGAUCUCCCGCAGGAUUCACAGCCCAGCACCCAGGGGUGCUGCCCAUCCGCAGACACGUAAGAACAGUGCUUUGAGCAUGGGAUGAACACCAAAAUUGCAGCUGGAGAACCUGGCAGUGGACAUGGAGCAGAGCCCUGUCCCCAGGCUGAGGACCAAAAACGCCUCUUUCCCAUCUGACAAGCCAAGGCUUUGAGCCCUGCCAAGCCCCAGUGUUUGUUCCUGCAUUUGGCAAGCAAGAGAUGGCAACAAAAGCAUGUGCAAGGCAGAAAGAGGAGUUCCAUUGAAGGAGGGAAGUGGGUUUCUCUUGGGUCUCGGUGACCUUUUCUGGUUUGGAAAUAACAGAGAUGUGCAAAGAUACUAACAAUGCACAGCGAGGGUGUUUCAAUUGCCCCAGCAGCAGAACAAACCCUGUGGCCUCCUUCAGUUGGAAGAAACUGGAGCCCAGAGCCACAGCCCAGCUUUUGACUGCCUGGAAUGGAACCAGUGGAAAUCCAGCUCCAGGGAGUUGGUGCCUUUGCCUGUUUACAAGGAAAAUUUAUUUGCAUCCAUGAAGCCUUACUAUGGGCACCUUGUCUUCCAGCCCUGGUUCUCUGGGAUACAGGUCCUGCUGUGUGAUGGGAACAGCUUUUCUUCUGCUGGCAGUAGCUGGAAGAAGCUCUCCGGGAGCCAAUGGAUUGGGAUUCAUAUCAGCAAUGCCCUUGGCCGUGAGGAUCCCGUUGACUCCAUCCUCACCGCCCUCCUUAGGGAAGCAAGCACAGAGAAGGAGCUGUUGGGACAAAGCCAAGAGAAGGGCUGAGACCAAAGAGGGUCAAACAGCUCCAGCAAUUUUUCCUUGUGCUUCCAGCCCUUCUUGCUUAGCCUCAGAGAAGAGAAACAACACGGGCAGGAGGAAAGAAAAGGAGCAGGGUUCUGAGCAGGUACGUUGGGAAUGCACCUAGAUCUCCCCUGAGCUGAGUUAAGGCCAGGUCUAUAACAGAGAAAUGCUGAUUUGGCUAAAGGGAUAGUAUUUCCUUUAGAGAGCAGAGAACUAUUGAUUACUGAAGCAACCACAGCUAUUCAACAGCCAGCUACCUCAGCAGAAGGAAAUUUCAGCUGGAGUUUAGGGAGAAGAUAGAGAAGACUCCAGGGUGGCCCAGGCAGUAGUGGGAACACGCCAGCCUGCUCUCCUUGACUCAGCUGCUGCACUGCCUGCUCUCAGUGGUACCAGAUAAGGAGUGAAAACAAACACAAGGUAGACGCCUGUGCAUGCCCCAGCCAAAGGAACUGGAAAACAUUCACUGCAGUGGAGUCAUAGCCAAGAUAGACUGUGGAAUAGGAAAGAUUAAAAUGUCUCACAGGACCUGGCUCAGCUCCCAGGGCCCUUUCUGGACACUGGCACAAGGGCAGCUCCUCCCAGUACCCCAGGCCUCUGCAGAGGCUCACAGGUCCACAGCCCUCUUUUUCCAGGAGGGCUUGUGUUGCAGGCUGGGAACAAACACCCAGAGGAGCACAAGCUCCUGUUUGGUGUGUUUCUAUAUUAUUGUGUGUCUAGCUGUGAUAGCCUAUGGAAGGGACCAAGCACACAGGUAAUACAGCACGGCUGUGGAACAGGAUCACAUGAAGACACUAGGAGCAUGUCAAACUCAGCUGCUUCAGCUGAUAUGCAGAUGCCAGGCUGUGUAAUAUUCACAUGAUCAUCCCUUUUGCAGUGUAGGCAAGUAUAGGGAGAACAGCGAGGAAAGCCAGCUGAGCAGUGGAGAAGGUCAAGGACUAGGAGGGUUGACUUCGCCUUUCUGUUUGUAGGAGGUCCUAGUGCCACUUCCCCACUAUAUUUUGAAUAACCUUGAAAAAAUCAAGUGGAAACAUGACUUACAAGCAGUCCUAGCUGUGUUAGCUGCCAGCCGUGCAGAACUGGAACCUUGGGGACUGAAGCUGCAGAAAAGCAGCCUUAACUCCUCCCCGUGCCCUUCCCAAAGUGCCCCAGGAGCCUGGUCCAGGCCAUGCCUGGCAGGGUCUCAUUUGGGAGUGCCUGCGCCCACCCAGAGCUGCCCUGGGUGGCACUGAG